GACAGAGGGGGCAAGCGUUGCUCGGAAUUACUGGGCGUAAAGGGCGCGUAGGCGGGAUGGCAAGUCGGUCGUGAAAUCCCUCGGCUCAACCGAGGAACGUCGAUCGAUACUGCUGUUCUUGAGGAUUGCAGAGGAGACUGGAAUUCCCGGUGUAGCGGUGAAAUGCGUAGAGAUCGGGAGGAACACCGGUGGCGAAGGCGGGUCUCUGGGCAAUUCCUGACGCUGAGGCGCGAAAGCGUGGGGAGCAAACGGG
rnacentral:rRNA from 1 species